rnacentral:rRNA from 1 species
UACGAAGGGGGCUAGCGUUGCUCGGAAUCACUGGGCGUAAAGGGUGCGUAGGCGGGUCUUUAAGUCAGGGGUGAAAUCCUGGAGCUCAACUCCAGAACUGCCUUUGAUACUGAGGAUCUUGAGUUCGGGAGAGGUGAGUGGAACUGCGAGUGUAGAGGUGAAAUUCGUAGAUAUUCGCAAGAACACCAGUGGCGAAGGCGGCUCACUGGCCCGAUACUGACGCUGAGGCACGAAAGCGUGGGGAGCAACAGGGAU